AAAAAUCAGCUGGCCUGGACACCGUGAGGAUUGACAGAUCGAGAGCUCUUUCUUGAUUCGGCGGGUUGAUGGUGCAUGACCGUUCUUAGGUGGUGGAGUGAUUUGUCUGGUUUAUUCCGAUAACGAGCGAAAUCUCUAGCCUAAUAAACAGUUACGGGAUUAUUUAUGUCCAGC
rfam:Gongylonema pulchrum genome assembly, scaffold: GPTH_scaffold0005288